rnacentral:rRNA from 1 species
ACGGGUGCGUAACACGUGGAUAAUCUGCCUGGAAGCCUGGAAUAACCUGCCGAAAGGCUGGCUAAUACCAGAUAAGCCCACGGCCCCUUCGGGGACUGAGGGAAAAGGUGGCCUCUAUUUAUAAGCUAUCACUUCUAGAUGAGUCCGCGGCCCAUCAGCUAGUUGGCGGGGUAAUGGCCCACCAAGGCAACGACGGGUAGCUGGUCUGAGAGGACGAUCAGCCACACUGGAACUGAGACACGGUCCAGACUCCUACGGGAGGCAGCAGUGGGGAAUUUUGCGCAAUGGGCGAAAGCCUGACGCAGCAACGCCGCGUGUGCGAUGAAGGUCUUCGGAUUGUAAAGCACUUUCGGCCGGGACGAAAACCCCUUGGCUAACAUUCAAGGGCUUGACUGUACCGGAAGAAGAAGCACCGGCUAACUCUGUGCCAGCAGCCGCGGUAAUACAGAGGGUGCAAGCGUUGUUCGGAAUUAUUGGGCGUAAAGCGCGUGUAGGCGGCAUAGCAAGUCGGGUGUGAAAGCCCUCAGCUUAACUGAGGAAGUGCGCCCGAAACUGCUGUGCUUGAGUGCCGGAGAGGAUGGCGGAAUUCCCCA